rnacentral:lncRNA from 1 species
CUUAUCCUGAAUAGUGAUUCCACUCAACCACAGGCAGAAAUUGAGAGUCCUGAACAUCUGCUUCCCUGUUGUCCUGUGCACAGAUCCCCAGGUCAGAAAACCUCCAUCCAGGCUGAGCCCAGGCAUCCAGGACAUUACCAGGGGGCUCUGUCCUGAAGGGGAGGCUGUUCAGGGUCGACCAACCACAGAAGCCCUCAGAGGAGGGCCAGGAGAGUUCUGUGCUGGCUGGAAACCAUUUCCACCUGCAGAUCUACAGCAAGGUAAAGGGGUCCCUCCA